rnacentral:rRNA from 1 species
CACGCCGUAAACGGUGGGCACUAGGUGUGGGAAACUAUCUACGUUUUCCGCGCCGCAGCUAACGCAUUAAGUGCCCCGCCUGGGGAGUACGGCCGCAAGGCUAAAACUCAAAGGAAUUGACGGGGGCCCGCACAAGCGGCGGAGCAUGCGGCUUAAUUCGAUGCAACGCGAAGAACCUUACCUAGGCUUGACAUAUAGCGUUUACCGGCAGAGAUGUCGGGUCCUUCGGGGCGCUAUACAGGUGG